AUGGAUUUCCUGAUCCUCUUCAGCUCUCAGGCCACCAGGGACCGUCUCAAUGACGACCACUUCAUCCGAUCUCCCCGCUUCUCCCUUUCGAUUCGCCCUUGGAGUAAGCUCGCUCAUGCCGGCUACGGCGAGUUCGAAUACAGCGUCGAGCUCGAGCUCCGCGGUAUUCCUGCCCAGGCGUGGCAUCUCUCGACUGCCGAGCACAUCCUUGGACAAAGCUGCUGGAUUGAGCGCCUCCAUCCCCACACUCGCUCCCGCGCCGACCUCGCCACGUUCCGGCUUUCCGGGCGCACGCACAAUCCUGCCGACAUCCGUCGCAACGCCAUUCUGGAGAUCGUCGAGCAAGUCCCCGCGCGCCUGGGCUCUGCUGCGCCUUUCAUCAGGACGCUUACCUACCCCAUCUCCACUGCGAUAUCCCGCGAUGUGAUCAUCAGGCCUACGAGCGUGGCUCCAAACGAGGGGCAUGGUCGCGAUCAAGGCGCCGAUGAUGGCAACGACGCCGGGCACAGCCACGGCCCGGGGCCCGCGCGCCGCCACGACCGCAAGCGUAGGCGCAUGGACUCGCAGCCCACCGGCCGUGCCGAUGGCAUGGCUAUGGACAACCUCGAUUGGCGCGUCGGCAACCGCGCCUCCCACGUGGAUGGGGUGGCCAUGGCUCCGGCGUGGCCUGCCCCUCCCGGUGCGGCGGCGCAACCGCCCAUAGAUCCAACCAGAAACGGCAUGCUGCUGUGGCCUGGCCAACGUGGGGCCCCUCACCCUCGUCAUCGAGCCAGAAAAGGAAAGGGGAAAAGGAAAGAUAAGCUGGCAACAGCCGUGGGCCAAGCGCGCAACGCUGACGAUGGCUCUAUCGCCGCGCUCGACGGGCCUGCGGGGACAGAUGGCGACUCCCCUGCGGCUGCGGCGGCAUCGGAGCCAUCCGGUUUUUCGAAUCCGGUGGUAUCCCAUGCACCCGGGAACGAUCCUGCUGGCCAAAGUUCUAGUUCGCCUGACCCUUCUUGUCGGGACCUGGCCGUGCUGAGCGAGGUGCCAUACUCGCGGGAAGAGACGCCGGCCUUGUCGGGGCAAAGUGGCGAUUCACCCACAUCCACCCUCGAGGUGGGGCUGCUCUCCUGUGUUGACCGGUCCACGCCAACCCCCACGCGCACCGCAACGGACAGAGAGGCGCUCGUGCUCGCCAGCGGCGCCAACAAUCCAUCCCAAGAGCUGUCGAGCACAACUCCUACUGGGCCACAGCUACCCGCCCCGACCCAAUAG
rnacentral:rRNA from 1 species